rnacentral:rRNA from 1 species
AUUGAACGCUGGCGGCAGGCCUAACACAUGCAAGUCGAGCGAGCGGCGGACGGGUGAGUAAUGUAUGGGGAUCUGCCCGAUAGAGGGGGAUAACUACUGGAAACGGUGGCUAAUACCGCAUACUAUCGGAUGAACCCCUAUGGGAUUAGCUAGUAGGUUGGGUAAAGGCGCACCUAGGAGACGAUCUCUAGCUGGGCUGAGAGGAUGAUGAGCCACACUGGGACGACGCCACGGUCCAGACUCCUACGGUAGGCAGCAGUGGGGAAUAUUGCACAAUGGGCGCAAGCCGGAUGCAGCCAUGCCGCGUGUGUGAAGAAGGCCGUCGGGUUGUAAAUCACUUUCAGCGAGGAGGCGUUACUCGCAGAAGAAGCACCGGCUAACUCCGUGCCAGCAGCCGCGGUAAUUC